GAUGAACGCUAGCUACAGGCUUAACACAUGCAAGUCGAGGGGUAACGAGAGGAAAGCUUGCUUUCCUUGUCGACGACCGGCGCACGGGUGAGUAACGCGUAUCCAACCUGCCCCCAACUAGGGAAUAACCUUGCGAAAGUAAGACUAAUACCCUAUAAUUUCCUCAGAUGACAUCUGACGAGGAAUAAAGAUUUAUCGGUUGUGGAUGGGGAUGGGUCUGAUUAGCUUGUUGGCGGGGUAACGGCCCACCAAGGCAGCGAUCAGUAGGGGUUCUGAGAGGAAGAGCCCCCACAUUGGAACUGAGACACGAUCCAAACUCCUACGGGAGGCAGCAGAGAGGAAUAUUGGUCAAUGGGCGGAAGCCUGAACCAGCCAAGUAGCGUGCAGGAUGACGGCCCUAUGGGUUGUAAACUGCUUUUAUACAGGAAUAAAGUUAGCCACGUGUGGUUAUUUGUAGGUACUGUAUGAAUAAGGACCGGCUAAUUCCGUGCCAGCCGCCGCCGUAA
rnacentral:rRNA from 1 species